GUCAUUGUAAAGAUGCCAAAACAUUUUUUUGAUAGUACUCGUGUUUUUUUGGUGUCUUGAGUGGUUUGCCUGUAACACGUCGUUCUUCAUCGCACAACAUUUUUUGCACUUCAGCAUUUCAAAAGGACAAUUUGAAAAACUAGAAUUUGCAUGAUUUUAUAAAAGAGGGUCUGGAAGGGGGUUCCUGAAUGCUCUAGAUUUUUUUAUUUAUUUUUUUUAUUUUUAAGCCAUAUUUUUCGUUUCUUUACAUUUUUUUACCAAUUAUCCUCUGUUCAGUAUAUGAUACGCCUCUCUAUUAUUCCGAGUCUAUUCUUUAAUUAUUUGUUUUUUGCUUGAUUUUUUUCUAUUGUGUAUUUUUAUAGGAUUCUAUUCUGCAUUUUUUGCCCAUUAUACUUUCUAUUCUGCAAACCCUCUCUUGAACCUCUUAUAGGAAUAUUAUUGCAGGCGCGGAUCCUGUCAUUUAAGAAAAAGGGGGUUCAACCCCCGGAACACCCACUGGAUCCGCGAAUGGAUAGCCGUUCUUCAAAUGUCACUUUGCCAAAAGCCGAUAUUUUUGAGCCUUUGUUUUCGCUUGUUCACGUUUUUCUUCAAGGUUUGAUUUUCUUUGUUUCUUCCUUUUUAAAUUCAUCGCUUUGGUAUAUUCCACAUGAAUCACAUGUAUUGACGGCUUCCCUGAAUUAUUAAUUUGACUCUUUUAGACUUUAUUCAUGUGUUGAUUGUUUCUUAUGUACAUUUACAUAGCUGUAGUUCAUGUAAUAUUUGAAUUUUAACCCAAUAGGGAUUUGCCUUUUUGCAAUACUGAAUAAAGUUAUUACAAAAUGCAAUGAAGUCGUAAUACCUGCAGACGACCCAGUCAACAUGCGUGUAACACAAAACGUUUUCGCGCCAAAUUUACCGGA
rnacentral:lncRNA from 1 species